CUCAAAUUUGAAAUCUGGCGUCCUCAGGGCGUCCGAGUUGUAAUCUAUAGAGGCGUUUUCCGUGCCGGACCGUGUCCAAGUUCCUUGGAACAGGAUAUCAAAGAGGGUGACAAUCCCGUACUUGACACGACGACCGGUGCUCUGUGAUACGUCUUCUACGAGUCGAGUUGUUUGGGAAUGCAGCUCAAAAUGGGUGGUGAGUUCCAUCUAAAGCUAAAUAUUGGCGAGAGACCGAUAGCGAACAAGUACCGUGAGGGAAAGAUGAAAAGCACUUUGGAAAGAGAGUUAAACAGUACGUGAAAUUGUUGAAAGGGAAACGAUUGAAGUCAGUCGUGACCGAGAGGCUCAGCCGGUUCUGCCGGUGUAUUCCCCUCGGUCGGGUCAACAUCAGUUUUGUCCGGUGGAUAAGGGCGGUAGGAAGGUGGCACCCUCGGGUGUGUUAUAGCCUGCCGUCGCAUACAUCGGGUGAGACUGAGGAACGCAGCUCGCCUUUAUGGCCGGGGUUCGCCCACGUCCGAGCUUAGGAUGUUGACAUAAUGGCUUUAAACGACCCGUCUUGAAAC
rnacentral:rRNA from 1 species